GCUAGGGUUGUCGUCCCCCCAAAAAAAUCGCGGGCUAGGUUACUCCUCUCAUCCGCAUCGGCAUGCCUCCCCUCCGGCCUCCAUAGACCCACCUGCCGCGCCGCCACCACCGCCGCCGCCCCUCCACAGCCGCCGCCGCCGCCGCUGCCUCCCCGCCACAGCCGCUGCCGCCGCCGGGCUACCGCAGCAAGGCCGUCGCACCACAGCCGCCGCCGCCGGUGGCCACCGCCACACGGCCGUCGCGCCGCGCCCCGUCUGGUUGAAGGUUGCCGUGGGAGCCGCGCAUCUCCAUCGACCUAGCGUCACGCCUCACUGCCUCCCUCGACGCGCCGGCUCCGCCAGGGCAUCAACAGGCAUAGGCGAGGAUUGCCUGCUCAUCGAACAGUCCUGUCCACGGAUUCAUUCUCCUCAGGUACAAUGCUAGUUGAUCGUAAUUGGAUGUACAAGGGCCAUCGAAACCGCGGCGAGGUUACUGCUGAAUGGAUUUUGAAGACUACAGAAUUUCUUGACAUGGCAUUCAGUCGGGACACACGCUGUGCUGAUGUAUUGUGCCCUUGUAACUACUGCAACAACACACGUCCCCAAACAAGAGAUGUGAUGAUGAAACACCUUUGCAAGUAUGGUUUCAGGCCUGAAUAUACUGUGUGGGUGUAUCAUGGUGAGACACACCCUACAUGUGAAGAGGUGGUAUGUGAAAGCACUGAAGAUGAAGAUAGGGUUGUGGACAUCAAUCGGAUGGAUGAUAUGGUGGAUGAUAUCCGAGAUGCUUAUGUCUCAGUUGAGGAGGAAGAUCCAGAGCCCACAGCGCAAUCUUUCUUUGAAAUGUUGUCUGCAGCGACUAAACCUCUCCACGAACAUACACAGGUAUCACAACUUGAUGCUACCACACGACUACUAGCAGUGAAGUCUCAGUAUGCUAUAUCAAUUGCUGGAUUUGAUGCACUUUUGAAUGUGGUCUGUGCUCUCCUCCCCCAAGGGCAUAAGCUACCACCCAACUUGUAUGAGGCAAAGAAAUUCCUUAGUGCUUUGAAUAUGCCGUAUGAAAAGAUAGAUGCAUGCCCUAAAAAUUGUAUGCUCUUUAGGAAGGAGAAUGAACAUAAGACACACUGUGAUAAGUGUGGAGAGAGUAGGUAUGUUGAGGUCGAAAACAGUAAGGGCCAGAAGAGACAAUUAACUGUUGCAAGAAAGGUACUUCGUUAUCUUCCAAUCAUCCCAAGACUUCAGCGGCUAUACAUGUCAGAAUCUCAGGCCAAGCAAAUGACAUGGCACAAAACUGGUCAUCGAUACCAUCCUGACAAGAUUGUACAUCCAGCUGACGGUGAAGCCUGGAAGAAGUUUGAUAGAGACUUUCCAGCCUUUGCUAUGGAAAUGCGCAAUGUUAGAGUAGCAAUAGCCACAGACGGGUUCUGUCCAUUUGGUAUGGGUGCCUCUUCAUACACUUGCUGGCCUAUGUUUGUCAUUCCUCUGAACCUUCCACCUGGUAUUUGCAUGCGGCAGCACAACAUGUUCCUUAGUUUGAUAAUUCCUGGGCCGAACUAUCCUGGUAAAGAUAUUAGUGUAUUCAUGGAGCCCUUAGUUGAUGAACUCAUACAUGCUUGGCAGCAAGGUGUGUUGACAUAUGAUCGUGCCACCAAGACAAAUUUUAUCAUGCGAGUCUCCUUCCUUUAUUCUAUCCAUGACCUUCCAGCCUAUGGCAUAUUCCGUGGUUGGUGUGUGCACGGGAAGAUGUCAUGUCCAAUCUGUAUGGAGGUGCUCCAAGGAAAAAGGUUGAAAUAUGGGGGUAAGUACUCAUUUUUUGAUUGUCAUCGCCAGUUUCUUCCAAGUGAUCACAGUUUUAGAACUGAUUCAAACUCUUUUAUGGCAAACACUACUGUUAGUACUGAGCCACCUCGUCGUCUCUCGGGUGGAGAGAUAAAAGCUCAGUUAGAUAGCCUUGUCCUUGCUCCUAAUGGAAAUGGUUUUGUAGACUAUGGCAAAAGUCACAAUUGGACACAUAGGUCUAGUUUGUGGAGACUCCCUUACUUUCAUAUGCUAGUACUUCCUCAUAAUAUCGAUGUCAUGCACAAUGAGAAGAAUGUUGCUGAGGCAAUAUUCAAUACUUGCUUUGACAUCCCAGACAAGACGAAGGACAAUGUCAAGGCUCGCCUUGACCAAGCUGCACUUUGUAACCACCCUGAGUUGAACCUUGUCCAAAAACAACCAUCUGGUCAAUGGGUAAAACCAAGAGCGGAUUUUUGCUUGAACAGAACUCAGAAGAAAGAAAUAUUGGAAUGGUUUCGGACAUUGAAAUUUCCUGAUGGGUACGGGUCGAACUUAAGGAGAGGAGUAAAUUUGAAAAACAUGCGGAUUAAUGGGUUAAAAAGCCACGAUUACCACAUAAUGAUGGAACGUCUCUUCCCAGUGAUGUUUCGUGGCUACUUGCCAACACAUGUGUGGGAAGUGCUAGCAGAGGUGAGCUUCUUUUAUCGCAAACUUUGUGCAAAACAGUUCGAUCCCAUAGAGAUGGAAAACAUGGAGAGUCAAAUAGUUGUUUUGGUUUGCAAAUUAGAAAAAAUCUUUCCACCUGGAUUUUUCAAUCCAAUGCAACACUUGAUGAGGUGGACCUGUACAAUUCAGAUGGAACUACCCUGUUGAAAGAGGCCAAAAGUAUCUUAAGAGCAAAGUUAGAAACCGAGCUCGUGUUGAAGCAUCCAUAGCAGAGGCUUACAUACUAGAUGAAAUCUCAAAUUUCACAUCUAUAUAUUUUGCUGAUCAAGUGCGGACAAUUCAUAAUCCUGUCCCUCGAUACAAUGUGGCUCAGUCCACUGAUUGUUCCCUUAGUCUCUUCUCUAUUAAGGGAGAUUCUACUAGCCGAGGAGUCCCUAGACACUUAACUGCUGAAGAGUGGGAUGCUACCAUGUUGUACGUGCUUACAAAUCUUACUGAAGUGGAUGACUACAUUAGGAAGUUUAUAGAUGAGGAGUGGACUUCACGAGGUGUUCCAACUAGGCAACAGCAGGAGAACAUCUUACAGAAUGGUGCUGGGAGAGAUCAUCCUAAUUUUGUUUCUUGGUUUUGUAAGAAGAGUAUGAUGGAUGAGACUAUGAGUGAUGAUUUGAAGCAAAUAGCUAGAGGAUGCCACACUCGAGUCUUGUUAUAUAAUAUAUAUGAUGUAAAUGGGUAUCGAUUUCGGACACAUAAAUAUGAGCAGGAGAGGCCAAAUGCAACUACAAUAAACAGUGGUUUGGUGACUAUAGGACAGGGAGAAAAUGAUGAAAUGACUGAGUACUAUGGUUACAUCAAAGAAAUAAUAGAAAUCAGCUUUGAUGGCACCAAACCUCUCACACUUGUGCUCUUCAAUUGCCAUUGGUUUGACCCAAGCCAAGUCAGGUACUCGCCAAGAUAUGGCCUGGUUGAAGUUGCUCAUGCAUCAAUCCUUCCCAAGUUUGAGCCAUUUGUUAUAGCUCAUCAAGCGACACAAGUGUAUUACAUGCCAUAUCCAUGCAAAUCUGUACAAGAUCUCACUAAUUGGUGGGUUGUAUAUAAGGUGCAGCCAAUUGGUAGAUUAGAAGUACCCACUGAUCAAGAUUAUGAUUUUGUCCCCAACACUGAUGUUGUCCACUAUUUCCAAGAAGAUGGCCUGCUUGGCAGUUUUGUAAUUGAUCUUGGUCUGAACUUUGAUAAUAAUUCUGAAGAGGCUGCCAGCAGUAGGGAUACUGAAGAUAUUUGCAAUGGCAAGGACUUGGAGCUUCUCAAUGGAUCAUCUAUUCAAGAUGUCAACUACGAUGAUGACGAGUCUUAUUAUGCUGACUCAUCCAAUGAAGAUGAUGAAUAUCCCACCAAUAGAGAUAUCUUAUAUGAUGAAUAUUUCUAAGGCAUAUAAUGCUAUGGCAAAGGACUGGAGUUUAUUUUUACCAUCAAUCCGGUUAAGACAGCCACUAGUGUUUAUUGCCUCCCUAGGAGAGGUGUAAGAACCAUUGUAGUUUCUAUGGCAUCAUGUGUAUCUAGUUGGUGGAUAUAUUCAUAUCAUGUUCUUCUUAGCACUGAGAAUCUGCACUAAUGUUCACUAAUUAUUAUGUGGUGCCAAUUUGUUUGCAUGAAACAUGCUUAUUGAUCUGCUGCGUUUAGUGAUUA